UAAGGAGGUAGGGGGAUUGCAGGUACUUCAACGUAUCAUUAAGUUAAUUCAUCAGAAUGCACAAGUGUACAGAGGGCGAGCCCUGGUACAGCGGUAAAGUUGUGCCUUGGUGACUUGUUGGUCAUGGGUUCGAGUGUAGGCUUCAGGUUUGGAUCUGUGCUCCAGUUCAUGGAAAAAAUAAUACAUAAAUGUUUAUAAGGCAACAUGAGCCAACAAUUAAACAAGAGACAUAGAAGAGAAAAGAAUACUUUGAGCAUCAAAUCCAGUAAGAUAUCCAAGCUAGUUAGAAGUUUCCAGAGAUUGUUAAUCAAAUCCAACUGAAUUGCAGGCUCAGUCAGCAUGCAUUUCUUCCCAUGUUGUGCUUAACACAAUGUUGUGACCUGAAAAAUGUUUUAUCAUGCAAUAACUGAUCAUACAAUGGCAUUCCAAUGUAAAUGAAAUAGCAAGUGCCAAAUUGUAGACAACUUGUUUAUCUAUUGUAUUCUGAAGGAACCGUCUGUUUUCUGCCCAAUCCAACGGUUUCAACCAAAGGAUAACACAUAACAGUGUCUUCCUCAAAGGAUAAUACAGUACAAUAUAUCAAAUUCAAUUUAGAAAUGCCAUAGAACUGUAUUAAUCAAGGAAAUGCUAGUGAUUAGAUGCAUUAAAUCUUCAGGCACAAUGCAUGGUAAUGCAUUAUUAACUGACAAAAACCCAUUCACAGUUCAUAAUAACCAAAAGACUCGUUUUUAAAUUGAUGAGGAUAGAUUGAACCAGUUCAAGAAGUAACUACACGCAUGAUCUUUGAAGAUAUCAGUUGAGGCCUCAAGAUUGCAACUAGAUGAAAACACCUACAUGAGUACUAGUAUGUCAUCACACAGUAACACUACUGAGCACCAACUAGCCAUAGAUGCAGGUAACAUCAUGAAGACAUGGAAAUAGAGAGAGAUAAGCAUUACAGUUAUUACUUUCAUUCACCAAGGUACAGAUGUCAGAGAUCAUUACUUAGUAACAUAAUCUUUGAUUGUGUUUGUGUCUAUUGAAUUCCUAACAAAAUUCAAUAAGUGGAGUAUCAGAAAAAAUAAACAGCAUCCAGAACUUUUUAGCUACAAUCAGCGUGCUUCCGUACUCAGAACACCCACAUCCUCAAGUUCAAUCGCAUAUAUGAAAUGUUUCCACCAGCACAUUUCUUAUUGACUUGAUAAAUCCAUUUCAUAAGUGGAUUUAGAGGGCUAUUAAAAUGAAAUUCUAUACAUUCUUGAACGAAGCUAUAGGGAUUAUUAGUUCUACUGUAUAAUAUUCAUUUAUCAAAAAAAAUAAAAAAAUAUAGAUGAGUUAUUUACAUAACUUUCAUCUCACUUAGCCUAUCAAAAUUACUCUUGAUGCAAUGUUAAGGAUUUUUCAUCAUUUAAAGUUAUUUCAACUAUUACCUUCAUCAACUAAACUAUUCUAACCAUGAUUCCUCAUGUGAAAGAGACUAAAUCACCUAAUUUCACUCUCAAUCCCCUAAGAGCUAAACCAGUAAUUUGCGCUAAGAAUAAAGAUGCAUAAACAAGGCUAAAUAACAUUAUUCUAUCCCUAGACAUGGGUUACCUUGAAGUUCCUUUAAGUUCUUAGGAUAAAAACAUUUUCCAAUGUUUAAAACCAGGUAACGUACAUGUGAAUGGAUGAUCAAACUAUAAACAAGGCAAUAAACUUAGAUAGGAAGCAAUAAUAUUGAAAUAACAUUAAAUGGAUACUAAAGAUCAUUACAUCAAAGAGUGUUUGGUAUCCAAGCCCCCUACAAUGGACAAUUUAGCCUUUUAUGGUCAUGAGAGACUAAAAAAUAAAAUAUGAACAAAGAAAAUGGAAGAAGAUGAAAGAAGAGCUCUCAAGUAAGUGUUUUGCUCUAUUUUGUGCCUUUGCUUACCAACCUCCUCCAAAAAGCAUAGUAUCACCCUUUUAUAAUCUCCAAAACAUUGCACAAUCAUGUUUUCCGUAGAUGACCGUGCGCUAAGUUUGCAUGUGCGCGCUAAGCGCACAUGUAAAGUACAACUAGCUUAAGUGACCAACGCUAAGCCUACAAACGUGCGCUUACUGCUCAUACUCGAUACAGCUGGCUUCACACGUCGUGUCAAAA
rnacentral:lncRNA from 1 species